rnacentral:lncRNA from 1 species
GAAGCUUUUAAUCACUCAGCCAUAUAAAAUAAACUAAGACAAGUAUAUAUAAGAAAAAUGCUUGACACACUUAUCGGUGGGCACGGGCACGGGUUCGGCCAUAAGGAUCACAUAAGCAGUGUAGGGAUCUCAUAGUUUCCAACCAUAAUGGGGAGGUCCUCCAAGAUACCCACAGGGUACUUCACUAAACGAUCAGCCAAUAUCAGAGACAGUCUACACUUCUUGUACUGGGUGAAACCAAGCUUCUCAGCAACAGAUAAAGGCAUCAAGCUGACACUAGCUCCCA